GAUGAACGCUGGCGGCGUGCCUAAUACAUGCAAGUCGAACGGACAGACGAGGAGCUUGCUCCGCUCACGUUAGCGGCGGACGGGUGAGUAACGCGUGUAUAACCUACCUAUAAUUCUGGGAUAACUUCGGGAAACCGGAGCUAAUCCGGUAUAAUAUAUUGCACCGCGUGGUGCAAUAGUGAAAGACGGUUUUGCUGGCACUAAUCGAUGGAUAUCCGCCGCAUUGGCUAGUUGGUAAGUUCACGGCUUUCCAAGGGUACCAUGCGUGGGCGACCUGCGAGGGUGAUCGGCCACCCGGGAGCUGAGACACGGUCCAGACUCCUACGGGAGGCAGCAGUAGGGAAUCUUCCGCAAUGGGCGAAAGCCUGACGGAGCAACGCCGCGUGAGUGACGAAGGUCUUCCGAUCGUAAAACUCUGUUAUUAGGUAAGAACAAAUGUGUAAGUAACUAUGCACGUCUUGACGGUACCUAGUCAGAAAGCAACGGCUAACUACGUG
rnacentral:rRNA from 1 species